UCCAGCGCGGCAACACCACCACACACCACCCCCCCCCCCCCCCCCCUUUUCUCUCCUUUUUUCUUCUCUGAAGUUAACUCUCUCUCUCUCUCUCUCCCUCUCUCUCUCCUGCAUCCGUGCGUGGUGCCGUGGUGUUUUUGCCUUUCCGUCGCCGAGCAGCAGUCUCUUCCCCGCUGUCUGAGCCACCACCAGUUGCCCCUAUCGUUCCGAAGGCCGCUGUUCCCUUCACGAGCUGCCUCUCAGCCCCGUGAGCGCCGUUGACCACCACGAAUCGCGCACACACACACACGUCACGGCCUCUUGUGUCCGUCACCCGUGGCCUGCGCUCACCCACGGCUCUCUCUCUCCCUCCGUCCCUGUCCAAAUUAGGCGAGACCGUUUAUACCGAGUGUUUCCUUUCCCGCGACACUUCUACUUAUAUAGACUAUAGUUCCUCCUCAGUUGUUCCUCACUAACCCUCCACCCCCCUCCGCCCAAUUCUCGACGUUCCCCCGCCGACGGCUUCUCUUAGUAGAUAAUGGAAAACAAACCGUCCGGUUCUCCAACGAGCUUGGUCGAUCAGUUAGUCGUACCAGGAGAUGUGGUUCUCGAUCUCAACAGCAUGACUAACCAAACCAUUAAGCUCGGCGGCGGUCUCCGUCAGGAUUGUGAUGCUAUUGCCGUUACGAAGGCAGGGAAGCUGAGGUGCACAAAGCCAAACAAGUACUGGGUCGAAAGCUCCCAGAAAAGGUAUGAGCCUCAUCCAGGGGAUUCUGUUCUUGGAAUUGUCGUAGACUCUAAAGCAGAUAAUUUUCUUGUGGACAUUAAAGGACCUGCUUUGGCAUACUUACCUGUGCUUGCAUUUGAAGGAGGAACUAGGAGAAACAUACCAAAGUUUGAGGUAGGUACUUUGAUCUAUGUUCGGGUUGUGAAGGCAAACCCUGGCAUGAAUCCAGAGCUCUCAUGCACUGAUGCCAGCGGGAAAGCAGCAGAAUUUGGCCAACUUAAGGAUGGUUAUAUGUUUGAAUCUUCGACUGGUCUAUCAAGAACUCUCCUGAGCUCGCCAACUUGUCCCGUUCUCGAUGCUUUAGGGAAGAAGCUUUCCUUUGAGAUAGCAGUUGGAUUGAACGGCCGUGUUUGGGUUAAUGCCACCUCUCCAUCUACAGUCAUUGUUGUUGCCAAUGCAAUUAUGAACUCAGAAUCAUUGAGUGCGGUACAGCAGAGAAUUAUGGUGGAGAAAUUGCUGCAGAAUUUGAAGUUAUCAAGCCUUGGGUUUGCUCCUCAAUGGUCACUAGUUCGAGUCUCCUCAGGGCCACUGGAGGAUUUAUCUGGUCGUUAACUUCAGGGCCCAUUGGGAUUAGUCGAGGUGCGCGUAAGCUGGUCCGGACACCCAAGCGUGAAGAAGUGCAUGCUCUGUAGCUAUCAAAUCUACCGAAUGUUUCUGCAUGUGACGUGGGGUUACGAAGACAACAAAAUUUCUACGCAAGCCGAUGCUCACAUAAAUCUUUGGGCAUUGGCCGCUCUGCUCAUUCUGCCCCAGUCGUAGAAUCCCAUAUGAAAUGAGUUUUUCAAUGCCGUUGUGUUUUGCAUUACUUCGAGGCAGAUUAAUUUAUAAGAAUGAUCUUAUUUUUUGUCCUUCUGCAGAGCGGUCUCUAUUGAAUGAAUUUGGAUGUACUUCCAAAUGUUUUGGAAUUUGGAUUCAGUUCUGCUUAGGCUUCUACUUGUCUGUAACUCUAGUUGGCACGUCACUCAUUUUCGCUUUUAUUGUAGUGUUUUACUGUUCA